rnacentral:rRNA from 1 species
UACGGAGGGGGCUAGCGUUGUUCGGAAUUACUGGGCGUAAAGCGCACGUAGGCGGCUUUGUAAGUUAGAGGUGAAAGCCCGGAGCUCAACUCCGGAACUGCCUUUAAGACUGCAUCGCUUGAACGUCGGAGAGGUAAGUGGAAUUCCGAGUGUAGGGGUGAAAUUCGUAGAUAUUCGGAAGAACACCAGUGGCGAAGGCGACUUACUGGACGACUGUUGACGCUGAGGUGCGAAAGCGUGGGGAGCAAACAGG